CCUACGGGAGGCUGCAGUGAGGAAUAUUGGUCAAUGGGCGCGAGCCUGAACCAGCCAAGUAGCGUGAAGGAUGACUGCCCUACGGGUUGUAAACUUCUUUUAUAAAGGAAUAAAGUGAGGCACGUGUGCCUUUUUGUAUGUACUUUAUGAAUAAGGCUCGGCUAACUCCGUGCCAGCAGCCGCGGUAAUACGGAGGAUCCGAGCGUUAUCCGGAUUUAAUGGUGUUAAAGGGAGCGUAGAUGGGUUGUUAAGUCAGUUGGUAAAGUUGGGGGCUCAACCGGAAAAUUGCAAUUGAAACUGGCAGUCUUGAGUACAGUGGAGGUAGGCGGAAUUCGUGGUGUAGCGGUGAAAUGCAUAGAUAUCACGAAGAACUCCGAUUGCGAAGGCAGCGUACUAAACUGCCACUGACAUUGAGGCUCGAAAGUGUGGGUAUCAAACAGGAUUAGAUACCCCUGUAGUC
rnacentral:rRNA from 1 species